AGAACGAACGCUGGCGGCGUGCUUAAUACAUGCAAGUCGAACGUGAAGUCUCAGCAAUGGAGAUGGAAAGUGGCGAACGGGUGAGUAACACGUAAGUAAUCUGCCUCUAAGACUGGGAUAACCUUGCCAACGCGGGGCUAAUACCGGAUGUGGUCCCGAUAAUGCAUAUUGUCGGGAUUAAAGGAGCGAUCCGCUUAGAGAUGAGCUUGCGGCCCAUUAGCUAGUUGGUGCGGGUAAUGGCCCACCAAGGCUGCGAUGGGUAGCCGGCCUGAGAGGGUGAUCGGCCACAUUGGGACUGAGAUACGGCCCAGACUCCUACGGGAGGCAGCAGUAGGGAAUUUUGCGCAAUGGGCGAAAGCCUGACGCAGCAACGCCGCGUGAGGGAUGACGGCCUUCGGGUUGUAAACCUCUGUUGAGUGGGAAAAAAGGGUAGCAAUACUUUGAUGGUACCAUUCGAGUAAGCACCGGCUAACUACGUG
rnacentral:rRNA from 1 species